rnacentral:rRNA from 1 species
CAGUGAUCACUUUAACGGCCGCGGUACCCUGACCGUGCAAAGGUAGCAUAAUCAUUUGCCUUUUAAUUGAAGGCUAGUAUGAAUGGUCCGACGAGAGUAAAACUGUCUCAUAUGUAUUCAAUAGAAAUUAACCUAAAGGUGCAAAGGCCUUUAUUCACCAAAAAGACGAGAAGACCCUGUUGAGCUUUAAUCUUAAUGAACAUUCUUUCUAUAUUUAUAAAUCCACUCUGCUCACUAAAGAUUUUAAUUGGGGCGAUUAAGGAACAAAGACCAGCUUCCUGAUCAUAAAUUAAACCGAUCCAGUAAUGCUGAUCAACAAAAUGAGUUACCACAGGGAUAACAGCAUAAUUCUUCUUGAGAGUUCCUAUCGAAAGAAGAGAUUGUGACCUCGAUGUUGGACUAGGGUAACUAGAAGGUGUAGCCGCUUUCUUGUUUGGUCUGUUCGACCAGUAAUUCCCU